AUUGGAAAUAAUUCUAAUAACUCACUAUUAAACUGAACUACUCCUUAGUUUGAACCGAGGCUUAGACCUGAAAGAUUAUACUACAAGGAAUUGACUUUGGAUUUUAAGCUCAUGCCUAACAUCAUUCGAAAAUUAUAUCAUAACCUGAAAGUAGUUAAAUAAUUUAGUUGAAGUUUGAUAGGGGUGUUUUUUCAUCUUUCUUAACAUUAAUAAAUAUCUUAAUAAAUAAAAAUGACGAUAACUAUUGUUGCAAUUGUAGUAAAAAAAAUAAUAUAAUUACUUGGUAAACCAUGACAUAGUCUUCAAAUAUAUGUUUGAUAGAGUUUUAUAGGUGAAGAUGCUGUAAGGGUUGCAUGCUAGUUAUAAAUAGCAAAUAUGGGAACGAUUUAAAGUAGUGAUUAUCAAACUAAACUGAAUGUUUCAAAAACUAAAUGAAGCCAAACUAAAGUAUCAUGCUUUGGUUCGGUUUUUA
rnacentral:misc_RNA from 1 species